GCCCGGCUAGGUUAGUCGGUAGAGAACGAGACUCUUAAUCUCGGGAUCGUGGGUUCGGGCCCCACGUUGGGCG